GACGAACGCUGGCGGCGUGCUUAACACAUGCAAGUCGAACGGAAAGGCCCUGCUUUUGUGGGGUGCUCGAGUGGCGAACGGGUGAGUAACACGUGAGUAACCUGCCCUUGACUUUGGGAUAACUUCAGGAAACUGGGGCUAAUACCGGAUAGGAGCUCCUGCUGCAUGGUGGGGGUUGGAAAGUUUCGGCGGUUGGGGAUGGACUCGCGGCUUAUCAGCUUGUUGGUGGGGUAGUGGCUUACCAAGGCUUUGACGGGUAGCCGGCCUGAGAGGGUGACCGGCCCCAUUGGGACUGAGAGACGGCCCAGACUCCUACGGGAGGCAGCAGUGGGGAAUAUUGCACAAUGGGCGGAAGCCUGAUGCAGCAACGCCGCGUGCGGGAUGACGGCCUUCGGGUUGUAAACCGCUUUCGCCUGUGACGAAGCGUGAGUGACGGUAAUGGGUAAAGAAGCACCGGCUAACUACGUG
rnacentral:rRNA from 1 species